rnacentral:misc_RNA from 1 species
GAUGAAGAACGCAGCGAAAUGCGAUAAGUAGUGUGAAUUGCAGAAUUCAGUGAAUCAUCGAAUCUUUGAACGCACAUUGCGCCCGCCAGUAUUCUGGCGGGCAUGCCUGUCCGAGCGUCAUUUCAACCAUCAAGCCCCCGGGCUUGUGUUGGGGACCUGCGGCUGCCCGCAGGCCCUGAAAACCAGUGGCGGGCUCGCUGUCACACCGAGCGUAGUAGCAAUCACCUCGCUCAGGGCGUGCUGCGGGUUCCGGCCGUUAAACAGCCUUACAAAACCCAAGGUUGACCUCGGAUCAGGUAGGAAGACCCGCUGAACUUAAGCAUAUCAAUAAGCGGAGGA